rnacentral:misc_RNA from 1 species
AAAGUCGUAACAAGGUUUCCGUAGGUGAACCUGCGGAAGGAUCAUUGGGGGGAUGUGUGGAGAGAGAGAGUUGGAAUGAAAUAUGACUAGUUUUACAAACUACAAUCAAUACAAACAACUGCUGACAAUGGAUCUCUGGGCUCUU